rnacentral:ribozyme from 1 species
UCUUUUUCUUUUGUUUUUGUUUUUUGUAUUUUCAUUUUUGGUUUGACUCGGCUGAUUUUCAUAGACAAAAUUUGAACAGCAGCAGUAUCAAGAGUAAAAAAAACAAG